rnacentral:rRNA from 1 species
GACGAACGCUGGCGGCGCGCUUAACACAUGCAAGUCGAGCGAUGAAACUUUAACAGAACCCUUCGGGGCGAAGAUAAAGGGGAUUAGCGCCGGACGGGUGAGUAACACGUGAGUAACCUGCCUUAGACAUUGGGAUAGCCUCGGGAAACCGGGAUUAAUACCAAAUAAAAUCAUAAUGACACAUGUCAUAACUAUCAAAACUCCGGUGGUCUACGAUGGACUCGCGUCCGAUUGGCUCGUUGGUAGGGUAAAAGCCUACCAAGGCGACGAUGGGUAGCCGGCAGGGGUGGCGGACAAGCCAGAAUGGAACUGAGGCACGGUCCACAAUCGGAGGGAGGGGAGGAGAAGGGAAUAUUGCAGAAGGAAGGGAGAUGUGACGACGCCGCGCGGGGGGAAAGAAGAAGGGGGUUGAGAAGUAAAGUCCUUUGAGAUGGGAAGAGAAUGACGGUACCAGAAGAAAAAGCCCCGGCUAACUACGUG